AUUCAGCUGAUUAGUCCCAAAUAGGACGAAACGCGUCCUGGGU
rnacentral:hammerhead_ribozyme from 1 species